rnacentral:lncRNA from 1 species
UGUUUUACUCUUGACUCUGUUGUAGGAUGUCUGGUGAUGUUGUACAUAUCCAUUGGAGUGGUUUGUGGAGCUGCAGUUAUCAUCACAGUGUUGCUGAUUUGGAGAAGCAGGGUAGAAAAGAGAAAAGAACAAACUUGAAACGCAGAUGGAUCAUUCCAGACCUGAGGAUAGCAGAUACAAAGUAUCUGAUGCUGAUACGACUGUAAUGUUUGUAUGAGAAUGUAAUUGUAAGUUAUCAUUAUAGUCAGU